ensembl:lncRNA
AGGCAGGAAGAGAGGGAGCAAGGGAGGGAAAGAGGGAAGGAAAAGGAGAGGGAGAGGGAGGGAGAGAGGGAGGAAGGGAGGGAGGAAGGGAGGGAGAGGGAGAGGGAGGGCGGGAGAGAGGGAGGGAGAGGGAGAGAGGGAGGGAGAGGGAGAGAGGGAGGGAUCUUCCCACCUGCUGGUUCACUUCCUAAAUCUCUGCAACAGCCAGGGUUGGAUGAUGCCACAGCCAGGAGCCCGGAACUCCAUCCAGGGACCCAAGCACGUGCGUCAUCAUCUACUGCCUCCUGGGGCGCACAUUAGCAGGAAGCUGGAAGCAGAGCCAGGAUGAAACCAGGCACUCCAAGCGGUGUCUCAACCACUGAGCCAAAUGCCCGCCCAGUUUGUUCCUGUGUAAUUGUUCCGUCAGAAGUGUGAAAGCUGAAAAGAUGCGAUGUCUACAGUGUUGGCUGUAACUUCUGUUGCUGAUCAUCGGUUCCUCUUCAAUUAAGGCCUGAACAUGAAUUUGUCCUUGAGAAUUGAUGUGGAUGGUCUGUCCCUGCAGGCUUCCUUUGUCGCAUCAUUUCUUAACAUGAGUUCUCCGUUUGUAAACUGCUGGUUAUACAGGGGGGAAGUGUGGACACAGACAUGCACGCGGUCGAGAAUGCCACGUGAGGCCGAAGGCAGAGAAGGAGGUGGGGAGCUUCCAGAACCCAGAGAACACCAAGGACUGCCAGCAGCCGUGAGGGCCUAAGAGGAACACAGAACGGUCUCCUUGCUGGGCCUCAGGGAGACAACCGCUCCAACCCCUUGAUCUCACACUUCGGCCUUCGGAACGGUGAGACAGUCCAUGCCUGUGUUUCAGCCGCCGGUCUGUGGCAUUUUGUUAUGGCAGCCCCAGCCCACCAGGACACCUCCCCAGGGAUGGAGUGUGCUCAACACUCGGGACAGGAACCUUGCUCAGCUGGCAAAGCUGCGUGUCUCUUCUCUGCUUGGCAACUGGACCCACAUGUGCUGGUACAGAGCGGGGUGAAGACAGCCGGAACAACCAGAGACUCCUUCCCUCAAGACAGGCAGAGCAGACUGGAAGGCAGAGAGGGCACAGGCCCGGGUCCCACAGGGGUGGGCUGCUGUAAGCUUCCGCCUCCUGGCUUCCUGGCAGCCCCUUCUGCAGCUUCCAGGACCGCAGGCCAACAGCCAAGGCAGUCAGGGGGCAGAGAGAAGUGAUGGCGCAUCUUCCCUUUAAGAAAGAAAAUGCAUCUUAAAGCAGGGGGAGCUAAUUUGCUCUUCUAUAAUCAAUCACCCAGUGCAGAAAACAAAAACACACUCAGGCAAGCCUCCAAUAGCCGAGAGGAGACUGGAGGAGGGGGCAAGGAGGGGCGCCUACAGAGAGGACCAUUUUCCUAACUCACAUGAAUCCCAAGGGCACAGGGCACGGGCGCGCACACUUGUGUGUGGGGCGGGUGUAAGCUGGGAGUCGUGUUGAAAGCGGUGCCAAUCUCCCAGCUUCCAAGCAUCUCACCCUUGUCCUGCCUCUCCUGUCCACACACAGGCAGGAGGAGCUGCAGCUGCGGGGAAAGUGCUCUGGAUUCCUGCCUUCAGAAAGGAACCGCAUGCAAACGCCACGCGGGCAGCAAGGAGCUGAGAGUUCCCUCUGCCUUUCAGCUCAUCCCUGGCCAGUUUCUGUGCCCUUCUUGGCCUUGCUUUCCCACUCUGUAUAAGGGGGCCAUUCUCACCCUUCCUUUUCUGUCUCACCCUGCCAGAGAGAAAAAGCCACAGUGCUGAUAAAACUAGGGUGAGCUCAAUAGCAGGGGGACUUGGUGCUCUGGCUACUUCCAUCUGGGUCUUGGGUUGGGGUGAGAACAGCCUGCGCUAGUCUCCAGCGGUAGCUGUGGAAGGAGCCCCUGGGAAGGCCAAGGGCAAAAUGUACUGUUCCUAGCUCCCUUCUUGUAGCUCAGAGAGGCACCCCUCCCGGCUCUCUGCCUCACCUGCCCUGGUGUUUUUCCCUCCUCCUCUUCUUUCUCCCUCUCUCUCUUUUCUUUACCCCUCUGUCUAGCAUGCCCACAUUUUCCAAAUCAAACUUUGGGAGAAGCUGGCAAUGGGCUCAAGAAUCUGAAAUACGGGCAUCUGUGGGCGUCCUGGGGUGUUCGGUUGCCCUAGGCACCCCCUGCCCAUGUGCUUCCUCCUCGGCCCUGCAUCUGCUCUGGGUUGGACCUCCACAGCCCUAAACACCAGUUGGGGUCAAUGCAAUGCCAGCCAUCCAGAUGUUUAGAAACGUCCAGAUGACAGAUUGAACACUUGCAGUGCUACCUAUUCUCGGUGCCCUCUGGACACAAUUCAGGAAAAACAACCAGAAGAAUAAAUAAGGAAAGCCUCUGCCA